GAGGCGGGAGGGGCGUCCGGAGGUGGAUGCGGGACCUGGUUUAGGGGCGAGGUGGACGUGCUGGCGUUUUCGGCUCUGAAAGCUGAUGUGGCGGCUUCGAGGUGGCAGGCUUGCCGUCUGCGGUUUGGAGAAAUCGGCCGCCAGAUGUUGCACACGCCUGUGCCGCCCCACAGUCUGUCUGCAGUGGUGCCUUCCAGCAAAGACUGCUGCCCGUGCCUCCGGCCCGCGGGGCUGGCACCUGCCACCGGAGCCCCGCCUCCUGAGAGCCUCCUCGCUUCCCCCCGCAGGGCACUGGAAGGAGCUGAGGUUUCAUGAAAUUCACCGUUUGGAAGUUCUCA